CCUACGGGUGGCAGCAGUGAGGAAUAUUGGUCAAUGGGCGAGAGCCUGAACCAGCCAAGUCGCGUGAAGGAUGACGGCCCUACGGGUUGUAAACUUCUUUUGUCAGGGAGCAAUUGGGUCCACGCGUGGGCUUAGCGAGAGUACCUGAAGAAAAAGCAUCGGCUAACGCCGUGCCAGCAGCCGCGGUAAUACGGAGGAUCCGAGCGUUAUCCGGAUUUAUUGGGUUUAAAGGUCGCGGAGAUGGGUUGGUAAGUCAGUUGUGAAAGUUUGCGGCUCAACCGUAAAAGUGCAAUUGAUACUGGCAGUCUUGAGUACAGUUGAGGUAGGCGGAAUUCGUGGUGUAGCGGUGAAAUGCUUAGAUAGCACGAAGAACUCCGAUUGCGAAGGCAGCUUACUAAACUGCCACUGACGUUGAUGCUCGAAAGUGUGGGUAUCAAACAGGAUUAGAUACCCGUGUAGUC
rnacentral:rRNA from 1 species